CUGAACCACUGCAUGAUGUCAACUGUCAGGUCCUUCAAAGAAAAAAGAUCAUCUCUAAGGCACAAGAGAAACCUUUCAUCUGAUCGACACAUGGAUUUCAGGAUGGAGAGGGAGGAGGAGGACAGCAUCGGGGCAGAUGAUUGGACCCAGGCAUCAAACAGAGGAAAGGGGCCUGGUCGAGUCUCCCUACAUCCCAGAAGUUUGCUGGAGUUGGGAUCUAAACAUCAUUGAGUGACGGCACAUUCAUCAUCAUGUAUCUUUAAUCAUGAAACAUUUAAAAUAAUGAAUGAUUUUUUUUAAAUCUUUCUGUUCAAGCUGUUUAUACCAGAUGACACGCUGGCUGGCUUCUACCUUUAACAUCAGAUGCAACAACUGUUUUGUUGUUGUUGUGUUUUGAUUAAUGUGAAAGAAAAGCAUUUAUUGGAUCUUGUUACAUUUAUGUACAAACUUUUCAGUCUGCAUUUACAAACUGUCUGUCUUGGGUGAACCUCACUGCAUUUGUGUUUGGGAAUUUUGAGACUCCCCUGUCGUGAUUCAAAUUCACAAAUACAUUUUUUUCAGCAGAGAAAUGUCUGCAGCCAAUCAGAUGUCUCCUUCCUAUUAGUGCUGGGCGAUAUAUCAUGAAGCUCGAUUCGAUCGAUAUUUAAUUAAUGCUUGAUAUGGAAAAGGGAACAUCGAUUUUAUUUUUAAACUACUUCCAAGUUUUCUUUCUUGCUUCUUUUGUCGAAGAUUUCGUUGCUCCGUGAGAUUUCCGCAGCAGCGCUUGUUGCGCGGAGACGAAAGGGCGGAGGAGACUUCACUCCUGCCGCUGAGUAGCCCAGCUCUUAAAAGCGACCAACACGGAGGAGAAAGAUGCGAGCGAGGCCGAAUUACUUCCAAAAAAAGGCUCAUAACGCAGGGCUCGACAUUAUAAUUGGCCCGCUGGCCCGGAUGAAUGAUUGACAGAGUCCAGCUGAUUGCACGUUCAGCUGGCGGCUUCACUGCGUUUGGUAAAACGGUUUUAAAACCAUCAGAUCCCAACAAAAGCCGAGCUUAAAUCAGCAUUCAAGGAAUAACAAUCACCGGAAAAGUCGAGAGUGACAGCAGGGCGAAAACAGAACGGAGAAAAGUUAGAUCCACAGUGACAGACAGCUGGAGGAGCUGGAACACGUUAAAGUUGAAGACUAGA